CGGUUAUUUUAACAGUAUUAGUAAGUAUAUAUGUAGAAAGUAUUCAUGGGACCAAACAACAGUCUUUUCCACUAUAUAAUCAACUAAAGAUCAAACUAUUGGUAAAAUUUGACAUUUGUGUAGAAUUCAUUUUGAAUGUAGUGAUUUGGGAUGCUAAUCAAACCCCAGGUAACUGUUUUUUUAGCUGGUUUUAAGGAUCCCAAGUGCAUGCUUUUUAGCCGUAGAAUACACAAAAUGUCUAUGUGUUUGUAGAGAUGGAUUUCUGAAUUCAGCUUAGACAGUAGAGAGCACCCUAAAGGAUAUUCUAAGUAGGUUGGGAAAGCAAUUUAUAUUCAUUUUGCUUUUAAAAGAAUCUGUUAGUUAAGGACAGAAUUUGAGAAUUCAUAUAUAUUGGAAGUGAAGACAAAUGUUUGUCGUUGUAUGGAUUUGUAAAAUGAAAAGUGUAAUAUAUACAUAAAUUAGUAGUUUAUUUAUAUAUUUUUUCUUGAAUGUAGAUUUAUCUAAUUUUUAAAACCUUAAAAAGUUAAUAGUGAAUUCUUCAUUUUUACCAGAGUUCAUUUUAAACAUGUUUGUUUAGGUUUUACUGCAAUCACAGCAACCAACCCCAUUUGGCUUAUAAAGACUCGGUUACAGCUUGAUGCAAGGAACCGUGGGGAAAGGCGAAUGGGUGCUUUUGAAUGUGUUCGUAAAGUGUAUCAGACAGAUGGACUAAAAGGAUUUUAUAGGGGCAUGUCUGCUUCAUAUGCUGGUAUAUCAGAGACUGUUAUCCAUUUUGUUAUUUAUGAAAGUAUAAAACAAAAACUACUGGAAUAUAAGACUGCUUCUACAAUGGAAAAUGAUGAAGAGUCUGUGAAAGAAGCAUCAGAUUUUGUGGGAAUGAUGCUAGCUGCUGCCACCUCAAAAACUUGUGCCACAACUAUAGCAUAUCCACAUGAAGUUGUAAGAACAAGACUACGUGAAGAGGGAACAAAAUACAGAUCUUUUUUUCAGACUCUAUCUUUGGUUGUUCAAGAAGAAGGUUAUGGGUCUCUUUACCGUGGUCUGACAACUCAUCUAGUGAGACAGAUUCCAAACACAGCCAUUAUGAUGGCCACCUAUGAAUUGGUGGUUUACCUACUCAAUGGAUAGCAGCAUGAGGACUGCUGUACUGCAAAAAAAGAAGACCAAAAGAUUACAGUGGACCAUGGAAUAUGGAAGCCAGCAUGGCAGACAGAAGAAAAAUAGUUUGGGAACAUGUAACUAUUCUAAGUGGAAGUUUUGUUGUAGGAAUUAUAGUAAUCACACCACAUUACUUGGCCUUUCAGUAAUGUGAAAAAAAAAA
rnacentral:sRNA from 1 species